CCUACGGGGGGCAACAGUGGGGAAUAUUGGACAAUGGGGGGAACCCUGAUCCAGCCAUGCCGCGUGUGUGAAGAAGGCCCUCGGGUUGUAAAGCACUUUCAGUGAGGAAGAACGCCUGGUGGUUAAUACCCAUCAGGAAAGACAUCACUCACAGAAGAAGCACCGGCUAACUCCGUGCCAGCAGCCGCGGUAAUACGGAGGGUGCGAGCGUUAAUCGGAAUUACUGGGCGUAAAGCGCGCGUAGGUGGCUUGAUAAGCCGGUUGUGAAAGCCCCGGGCUCAACCUGGGAACGGCAUCCGGAACUGUCAAGCUAGAGUGCAGGAGAGGAAGGUAGAAUUCCCGGUGUAGCGGUGAAAUGCGUAGAGAUCGGGAGGAAUACCAGUGGCGAAGGCGGCCUUCUGGACUGACACUGACACUGAGGUGCGAAAGCGUGGGUAGCAAACAGGAUUAGAUACCCGGGUAGUC
rnacentral:rRNA from 1 species